GUGCGCGCUCCCGUGAGGCGAAGCUGUUUUCGCGGCGUGCUCGGAGGGGCUCGCGCCUCUCGCACGGCUGCGGGCAGACGCGGGGGUAGGGGGCCUCCCGGACUUGUGGCUGCGGUGGAACCGAAUUUCCCUUCCAGCCGACUGGAGGGCAACCUCCUGGGCGGCCUCCAUUUCCGCCCUGUUUUUGAAUACUGGGAACAGGCAGUGCUUGCCAGGCUCCCUGUGGAAACCCCAUUUCCUUUGAGGACCUUGUUUCCUUAAGUGGUUUCCAGCCCUUUGAGACCCGCUUCCCCGCGAGAGCUUCCAUUUACCCGUUUUUAAAUUAAGGGAUUCGGAAGCUUCAGAUGCAGCUGAGCGAUUCAAGAGGCUGUUUCUCCGAAGGGGAGGCGGGGGGGGGGGGGUGUCGCAAGUUCCGCAGAAUGGGCUUGGUGGUGGACACCGCUUGGCUCGGACACCUGAAGGAAACUUGCGGGAGAUCCCUGGAAAGGUUGCUGCCAGGCGCAGGGCAUUUUGACCGGGGCAUGGUGCGAGAACCUGACCCCAUUCACCUCUACCACUACCAUCCUAUUAGAAUUCGUUGUAUGUUACUUAUGAACAUAUGAACGCCUAGCUGGUUUGUCUACUUCCGUGAUUGACUUGCUAGUUGGAAGGCAGCCAGACUGGCGGCCUAAAAUAAGAGGACCAGAGCACAAAGCAGCUGUCUGAUGCCUCACCAUUCCAACCGUUCUUUCAUUCAGUCCGUCAACAUAUACCGAAUUCCUAUGGCGCCCGUAAGCUCCUGUUCUAGGUACUGGGGCUGAAGCAGUGAAGAAAACACACCGACGUUCCUGCAUUCACAGAACUUAUUUAUCAGUGCAGAGGGUUGGGACUGUAAAGGGAGGGGAAGGUCACAAAGAUAAUAAUAUUAAGAAGACUAGUGGAAAAUAAAGCAGGGUAAAAGCGGGUUACCUGAGUAGGUGUGCUCUUUUACAGAGGCGGUUCAGGGGAAGGCCCUCUGCCGAGGUGACAUUUGAAUAAAGAUUUGAAGUGAGAGAGUGAAUCAUAUCCACUGGGGGAAGAACCUUCUAGGCAGAGGAAACAACAAGGUAAAAAGACCUGGAGCUUGAGUGGGCUUGGUGUAUUCAGAGAACAGCAGGGCAGCCAGUGUGGCGAAAGAGCAGAUUAGAGAAACGUGGUCAGAGAUUACUCCCAGAUUUAUAGACCAAGAAGACGAUUUAGGAUUGCAUCUCCUACAGGUGCUAGGAAGCCAUGGAGGGUUCUGAGUAAAAAGGUGACACGAUCUGAUUUAUAAAUGAAGAGAUUUGGUCUGGUUGGUUCUUUGAACACUGUCUGCAGGGAGGCAAAAUGGAAGCUGAAUGAAAGACCAGUUAGGAAGCUGUUGCAAAAGAUCUGCAAGACUAGUGUUGCAGUGGAAGUGGCAGGAAGUGACCGGAUUCGGGAAAUAACGUGGAAGGUGGCAGAGGUGCCCUGCUAAUAGAGUGAGUCUGGAGUGCAAGAUAAACAGGCGGGCUGUCUCGGGCUUUUGGACUGGAGCAACAGGAUAAACAGUCGGGCCAUUUACUGAGAUAGAACUCCAGGCAGGAGGGGGGAGCAGGAGGAGGGUUUUUGUUGGAAAAAUGUCCAGUUCUAUUUUAGACAUGUUGAACUGGAGGUGCCUAUUAGAUUUCCAAGUGGAGCUUCUGAGUAAACAAUUGAAAUAUGAAUCUGAGGCUCCUAGGAGAAGACAAUUGCUGGUAUAAAGUGGGGAGCUAUUAACGUAUAAAUGGCAUCUAUAACCAUGGAGUGGGGAGUGCUCAACUUAGUUAACACGGGAGAGAAGACAAGCAGAGUCUCUAUAUAAGUUGAGCCCUCUAAUCCCAAGGCACUCCAACUAGUAAAGGUCAGGGAGAAAAAAUAUCCAGCAAAAUUUAUUUAAAAGGAGCAACCAAGAGGGGUGUCUGGGUGGCUCAGUCGGUUGAGCGUCUGACUUCGGCUCAGGUCAUGAUCUCACAGCUCGUGAGUUCGAGCCCCGCGCUGGGCUCUGUGCUGAUGGCGCGGAGCCUGGAGCCUGCUUCCGAUUCUGUGUCUCCCUCUCUCUCUCUCUCUCUCUGCCCCUAACCCACUGGCAUUCUGUCUCUGUCUCUCUCAAAAAUAAAUAAACAUUAAAAAAAAUUUUUUUAAAGGAGCAACCAAGAAAAAGAACUUAAAACCCAAAAGAGCAAGGAAUCCUAUAAAACAAAUUUUUUAAAUGUUUCAAGAAGGGCACUAUCAACUCUCAUUCCUGUUUAAGAGUCUGAGGACUGAAAACUGACCACUGGAUUUGGAAACAUGGAGGUUAAGACCUCAACAAGAGUGACUUUAGUGGAGCUCUGGAGAUGAAAACCUCCCACCCCGUGAUCUGGUUUCUAUGCUUACUGCUUUGGACACCAUUGCUAUUGCCACCAAAUCUUAUUUUGGGCUCUCCUGUUGCAUUUGAGGUUGUGAUGAUCAUCACCCCUUCUAAAUAUCCAAUCUCACGGAUUUCUGUGACACUGUAUGUCAUAGUUCUAUUUAUAUCACCUGACCAUUUAUUUCAUGAGCUGUCCUCACUCUUCAUUCUAAGUGUUCUUCCAAAGUGAUCUUAUCCAUUCUGACAGUGUGAACCACCAUCCAUGUCCCAGUCUUUAUUGCCAAUCCAGGCUUCUUCAAGCUCUAGACUCACAUACCUGAUAGCCAGUGGCACUUUAAAAAAAACAAAACAGCUGUAUUGAAAUGAAAUUCACAUACCAUACAGUUCACCCAUUUUAAGUGUGCAAUUGAAUGGUUUUCAGUACAUUCACAGAUAUGUGCCGCCAUCACCACAGAUAGUUUUCAACCAUUUUUGUCACCUUGAAAAGAAACCGGGUACCCUUUAGCUACCACCCUCUAUCUUCCCAUCCCACUGCAGCCUAAAAAACCAUUAACUCCUUUGUCUCUAUAGAUUUCCCUAUUCUGGACUUCCAUAUGAAAGGAAUCAUAUAAUACACUUUGUGUGUGUGAUCGCUUUCUUUCACUUAGCAUGUCUUCAAGGUUCAUCCACGUUGUAUCAUGUGUCAGUACUCCAUUCUUUUUUAGAUCAAAUAUCGCUCCAUUGUAUGAAUACAUCACAUCUUGUGUUUCCAAUCAUCUGCCGACAGUUUGGUUGUUUCUUUUGGCUAUUAUGAAUGAUGCUACUAUAAACAUUCAUGUACAA